rnacentral:pre_miRNA from 1 species
ACGUCAAUCACUCGGAGAUCUUGUUAAAAUUCAGCUUCUGAUUCUCCAGGUCGGGGGUGAGACCUGAGACUCUGCAUUUCUAACAAGCUCCCAGGUGAUGCCAAU